GAUGAAGAACGUAGCGAAAUGCGAUAAGUAAUAUGAAUUGCAGAAUUCAGUGAACCAUCGAAUCUUUGAACGCACAUUGCGCCCGGCAGUAAUCUGCCGGGCAUGCCUGUCCGAGCGUCAUUUCUACCCUCAAGCGAGUCCAGCAUCUAGGUGCUGGGCCUCGCCCGGCGUUGGAGCACUACGGGAAGCCCUGUGCUGUCCCCCGUAGGCCCCGAAAUGAAGUGGCGGUCCUGCCGCGGCGCCCCCUGCGUAGUAUAACAGCUCGCUUCGGGACCCGGUGGAGGCCUGCCGUCAAACCUAUACUCUCUAAGUUUGACCUCGGAUCAGGUAGGGUUACCCGCUGAACUUAAGCAUAUCAAUAAGCGGAGGA
rnacentral:misc_RNA from 1 species